GACGAACGCUGGCGGCAUGCUUAACACAUGCAAGUCGAACGGAAAGUCCCUGCUUUUGUGGGGUGCUCGAGUGGCGAACGGGUGAGUAACACGUGAGUAACCUGCCCUUGACUUUGGGAUAACUUCAGGAAACUGGGGCUAAUACCGGAUAGGAGCUCCUGCUGCAUGGUGGGGGUGGGAAAGUUUCGGCGGUUGGGGAUGGACUCGCGGCUUAUCAGCUUGUUGGUGGGGUAGUGGCUUACCAAGGCUUUGACGGGUAGCCGGCCUGAGAGGGUGACCGGCCACAUUGGGACUGAGAUACGGCCCAGCCUCCUACGGGAGGCAUCAGUGGGGAAUAUUGCACUAUGGGAGGAAGCCUGAUGCAGCAACGCCGCGUGCGGGAUGACGGCCUUCGGGUUGUAAACCGAUUUCGCCUGUGACGAAGCGUGAGUGACGGUAAUGGGUAAAGAAGCACCGGCUAACUACGUG
rnacentral:rRNA from 1 species